UCUCAACAACGGAUAUCUUGGCUCUCGCAACGAUGAAGAACGCAGCGAAAUGCGAUACGUAGUGUGAAUUGCAGAAUUCCGUGGAAUCAUCAAAUCUUUGAACGCACAUUGCGUCCGAGGCUCCGGCCGAGGGCAUGUUUGCCUCAGCGUCGGGUU
rnacentral:rRNA from 1 species